rnacentral:RNase_P_RNA from 1 species
GAAGCACGCCAGACCGUCGCUGGUGCAAUUUGGGAAACCAAGCACUGGAGGAACGUCCGGACUGCACAGGACAGCGUAGGAGGUAAUACCUCUCCACCGUGAGGUGAGGAUCAGAGCAACAGAGACGAGUCGGCUGGUUGGGGCAACCCAUCAAGCCGGGUGAAACGGGCAAUCUCUACGCGCAGCAAUACCAAGUAGGCCAGCGUUGAUGUGGUUCCGCAGAGCUGGCGGGUAGGUAGCAUUGAGCCGGUGGGGUGACUCCCGGCCCAGAUUAAUGACGGUCACACUGCGUCAGCUUGUUUCGGCAAGUUGGCACGGCGCACAAAAUCCGGCUUAUCGGCGAGCUUCACAC